GACGAACGCUGGCGGCGUGCUUAACACAUGCAAGUCGAGCGGUAAGGCCCUUUCGGGGGUACACGAGCGGCGAACGGGUGAGUAACACGUGGGUGACCUGCCCUCAGCUCUGGGAUAAGCCUGGGAAACCGGGUCUAAUACUGGAUAUGACUCCAUGACGCAUGUUGUGGGGUGGAAAGCCUUGUGCGGCUGAGGAUGGGCCCGCGGCCUAUCAGCUUGUUGGUGGGGUGAGGCCCUACCAAGGCGACGACGGGUAGCCGGCCUGAGAGGCGACCGGCCACACUGGGACUGAGACACGGCCCAGACUCCUACGGGAGGCAGCAGUGGGGAAUCUUGCGCAAUGGGCGAAAGCCUGACGCAGCGACGCCGCGUGAGGGAUGACGGCCUGGUUGUAA
rnacentral:rRNA from 1 species